rnacentral:rRNA from 1 species
AGCGUUGUUCGGAAUUACUGGGCGUAAGGGGUUCGUAGGCGGUGUGGCAAGUCGGGAGUGAAAUCUCUGGGCUCAACUCAGAGACUGCUUCCGAAACUGCUGUGCUGGAGUGUGGGAGAGGCGCGUGGAAUUGCAGGUGUAGCGGUGAAAUGCGUAGAUAUCUGCAGGAACACCCGUGGCGAAAGCGGCGCGCUGGACCACUACUGACGCUGAGGAACGAAAGCUAGGGGAGCAAACAGG